rnacentral:lncRNA from 1 species
UUACACUUCCCAUCACAGAUGCAAAAUGUCAGCUGAUGCCAUGGAUAAAGAUGUUACUAAAUAUGUUACCCAGCAUUAAAAAGGAAUAAGGAUGCAAAUUGCAGAACAAUGUUUUAGGACAGAAAUAACCUAUUAGAGGAAAAUCUUGCAUCUACAUUGGAAGCCAAGAAGAGUCCUUCACAUGCCAGAAACAAUGAGGACUUUAUGCGAAGUACAGAGCAUGCAGGACCAGGUUAUAGAAGGACCUUCGGGACCAGCCCCCAAGCCACCUCGCCUGGGAGAGGCAUGGACUCACGAAAGCAACAGCUCUCCAAAACAGGAAAGAAUAAUCCGAUUGGAUCCCUGGGAAGCAGGGUGUAAAACUGCAGAGCUGAGCCAAGAAUAAACUGUGCAAGGCAAAGGAAAAGCAGAUUCAAAGAGCAGAAUAAAUCUUUAAAAUGUGAACAUAAGCUCUGGCCAACUCUGCCUUGGUCUGCCAAGGAGGAGCUUAGGGCACUGACUGAGAC